rnacentral:rRNA from 1 species
GACGAACGCUGGCGGCGUGCUUAACACAUGCAAGUCGAACGGUAAGGCCCUUCGGGGUACACGAGUGGCGAACGGGUGAGUAACACGUGGGUGAUCUGCCCCGCACUUCGGGAUAAGCCUGGGAAACUGGGUCUAAUACCGGAUAGGACCACUGCCCGCAUGGGUGGUGGUGGAAAGCUUUUGCGGUGGGGGAUGGGCGCGCGGCCUAUCCGCUUGUUGGUGGGGUGAUGGCCUACCAAGGCGACGACGGGUAGCCGGCCUGGGAGGGUGACCGGCGACAGUGGGACGGAGAUACGGCCCAGACUCCUACGGGAGGCAGCAGUGGGGAAUAUUGCACAAUGGGCGCAAGCCUGAUGCAGCGACGCCGCGUGAGGGAUGACGGCCUUCGGGUUGUAAACCUCUUUCAGCACCGACGAAGCGCAAGUGACGGUAGGUGCAGAAGAAGGACCGGCCAACUACGUGCCAGCGGCCGCGGUAA